UACGUAGGGUGCAAGCGUUGUCCGGAAUUAUUGGGCGUAAAGAGCUCGUAGGCGGUCUGUCGCGUCUGCUGUGAAAACUCAGGGCUUAACCCUGAGCUUGCAGUGGGUACGGGCAGACUAGAGUGCGGUAGGGGAGACUGGAAUUCCUGGUGUAGCGGUGAAAUGCGCAGAUAUCAGGAGGAACACCGGUGGCGAAGGCGGCAUCCUGGACCGAGAUUGACGCUGAUGAGCGAAAGCUAGGGGAGCAAACGGG
rnacentral:rRNA from 1 species